GCCUAGUUAGCUUAGUUGUUGAUAGUGCGUCUGCCUUGUAAGCGCUAGGCCGCGGGUUCGAUUCCCGCCCGGGGCG
rnacentral:tRNA from 1 species